rnacentral:rRNA from 1 species
AUGCCGGAAAAGACCCCUAGAUGGGUUCUCAUGUGGACAGAAGGUUGCGGUGGUGGAAAAGUCUUUUCAUGGAUACUUCUGGUCAAAGUGGGCACGGGAGAUCCCAGGAGGAUGCAUCGUGCUGCUCGACAUCUUCAUGGCCGGCGCGACCGGGGCAACGGUGCUGGAGGUUGGUGGUGCGGAGGAGGCGGAGACUGA